ACUUAGCACCUGAGCAGCUGGAUUCACCUUUCUCCCACUCCCUUAUUCAUUGAGCCCUGGGGGGGUUGUCUUCCAGGGAUUGCAUCAGGAGGCCACCUGACCUCUGACUUCCUGUUGGCUUCAGCUAAGAAGGAAGGAGGAACACUGAGAGGGGACAGGAGGAGGCAGGAGCAUGCUGUCAGGGUAUUGUGUUUUUCCAGUGCCUUCU
rnacentral:lncRNA from 10 species